CAACCCUCGAACCCCUCCGGGGGGUCGGCGUUGGGGACUUCGGGAACCCCUAAGACGGGAUCCCGGCCCCGAAAUACAGUGGCGGUCUCGCCGCAGCCUCUCAUGCGCAGUAGUUUGCACAACUCGCACCGGGAGCGCGGCGCGUCCACGUCCGUAAAACACCCAACUUCUGAAAUG
rnacentral:rRNA from 1 species